rnacentral:rRNA from 1 species
GUCCUAGCCCUAAACGAUGCUCAUUAGAUGUGGGAGGUAUCGACCCCUUCCGCGUCGUAGCUAACGCAUUAAAUGAGCCGCCUGGGGAGUACGGCCGCAAGGUUGAAACUCAAAGGAAUUGACGGGGGCCCGCACAAGCGGUGGAGCAUGUGGUUUAAUUCGACGCAACGCGAAGAACCUUACCUGGGCUUGAACUACGGAUGGUAAGUCCUUGGAAACAGGGGCUGACCCGCAAGGGAGUCCGCAGAGGUGCUGCAUGGUUGUCGU